rnacentral:ncRNA from 1 species
AAAGGGGUGCCUAAAAAACGGCUGAGAUCAUACCCUAUGAACCUGAUACGGAUAAUGCCGGCGCAGGAAUUGUUCAUA